rnacentral:lncRNA from 1 species
UGUCACAAAGCCAUCAGUACAGUGCCUGGUACACAGGGAGGACACAGGGCAUGAGGCAUGCGAGAGAGGAGAGAGAGAACACAAGCAAGGGAAAUGGCAGGCAGAGGGAGAGGAAGAGGGAGAAGCAGGCUUCCUGCUGGUGCGGGGCUCCAUCCCAGGACCUUGAGAUCAUGACCUGAGCUGAAACCAAGAAUCAGACACUUAACCAACUGAGCCACCCAGAAGUGGAACUUCUAUUAUUCAAGCUUGAGCGACACUGUCCUGAAAGCUGACGUCUGCAAUGCUGUCCCCAAGAUGCGCUCUCGCCUGGACUUCGCCCCCCUCCCCAUACUCAUCUCUGGCCAUGUGAAGUCAGCAAUUUCAACCAAUUUCAACCAUGUUUCCAGCCUCUAUCCUUUCUCUAACAUUAAAUUCCCUG